rnacentral:tRNA from 1 species
GGAUCUGUGGCUCAACUGGUAGAGUAUUGGCCUUGAGCCCCAAAGUGCCUAGAUCCU